GGCGAUCAGAUACCGCCCUAGUUCUAACCGUAAACGAUGACAACCAGCGAUUAGUCGGUGUUAAUAAAUACGACCCGACUAGCAGCUUCCGGGAAACCAAAGUUUUUCGUUUCCGGGGGAAGUAUGGUUGCAAAGCUGAAACUUAAAGGAAUUGACGGAAGGGCACCACCAGGAGUGGAGCCUGCGGCUUAAUUUGACUCAACACGGGAAAACUCACCCGGCCCGGACACUGUAAGGAUUGACAGACUGAGAGCUCUUUCUUAAUUCGGUGGGUGGUGGUGCAUGGCCGUUCUUAGUUGGUGGAGCGAUUUGUCUGGUUAAUUCCGAUAACGAACGAGACUCUGGCCUAUUAAAUAGACGGUAUAUCGAAAAGUAUGCCGCGCUUCUUAGAGGGACAAGCGGCGUUUAGCCGCAUGAAAUAGAGCAAUAACAGGUCUGUGAUGCCCUUAGAUGUCCGGGGCUGCACGCGCGCUACACUGAAAGAAUCAGCGUGCGUAAUACCUAGUUCGGAAGGACCGGGUAACCCGAGUAAAUUCUUUCGUGCUUGGGAUAGGGAAUUGCAAUUAUUUCCCUUAAACGAGGAAUUCCCAGUAAAUGCGGGUCAUAAGCUCGCGUUGAUUACGUCCCUGCCCUUUGUA
rnacentral:rRNA from 1 species